rnacentral:rRNA from 1 species
GUCGAGGGGCAGCGGGAAGGUUAGCUUGCUAAUCUUUGCCGGCGACCGGCGCACGGGUGAGUAACACGUAUGCAACCUGUCCGGUACAGGGGGAUAAGCGGCGGAAACGCCGUCUAAUACCGCGUGACAACCCGAGGGGGCAUCCCCUUGGGUUCAAAGGAGAGAUCCGGUACCGGCUGGGCAUGCGGCGCAUUAGCUAGUUGGCGGGGCAACGGCCCACCAAGGCGACGAUGCGUAGGGGUUCUGAGAGGAAGGUCCCCCACACUGGAACUGAGACACGGUCCAGACUCCUACGGGAGGCAGCAGUGAGGGAUAUUGGUCAAUGGGCGCAAGCCUGAACCAGCCAAGUCGCGUGAGGGAAGACGGCCCUAUGGGUUGUAAACCUCUUUUGCCGGGGAGCAAGCCUGAGCACGUGUGCCCAGGCGGAGAGUACCCGGAGAAAAAGCAUCGGCUAACUCCGUGCCAGCAGCCGCGGUAAUACGGAGGAUGCGAGCGUUAUCCGGAUUUAUUGGGUUUAAAGGGUGCGCAGGCGGGCUGUUAAGCCGGCGGUAAAAAUUCAGGGCUCAACCCUGUCGAGCCGUCGGAACUGGCAGUCUUGAGUGGGCGAGAAGUAUGCGGAAUGCGUGGUGUAGCGGUGAAAUGCAUAGAUAUCACGCAGAACGCCGAUUGCGAAGGCAGCAUACCGGCGCCCAACUGACGCUGAGGCACGAAAGCGUGGGGAU